CCCAUCUUCAAGUGCUCUAAUUCUGCAAUAUCCAGUUGGACCAGAAGGUACGUAGUCUCCUAGAGAACUCACUCUUGUUUCUGUGCAGAUACUACAAUAUUGUUCUCUUUUCUGUGUGUAUGCAGCUGUUACGGUCAAAGGUCUUUUAAAGGAAAAGAAAUACAGUAUAUUUUUUCAUCCAGUGUAUAUUUCUUUGCAUUCACUAACACUGAAGUUACUUCACUAUCUUUUUACUUAUUUGUCUAGCUGGUUUAGGUGUCAAUCACAUCCUUAUAGUUUUCUUUCAAAGUGAUUAACCUACAUAGCCUUCAUCUUCAAAUUCUUCUUUCUCCAUCUGUGUCUCCCUUCUUUACCAAUUACAAACAAAUAUAUUGUACAGCAGAGGCUUUUCAUGGGAUCUGAAAGCAUUCUGCCAUUAAUUUUACCAUGCCGGGAGUUGAUCUUUAACUGCACUCUUUGGUGUUGUCUCCUGGCCAAUAUUAACUCCUGGAUGUGUUAUGAAAUACACAAAAUCCUGAGGUAGCAGUUCUCCAAAGUAACCUAAUCAUACCAUAGUGCAGCCUCUAAACUUUUUUUUUUUUUUAAUCACAUUUCAAUCCCUGAUGGACUCAGUGAACCCUUAUUGGUGCUACCCAAUCCCACAGUUAGGAUUUGGAAAUGCAGAUAAGGAGCAAAACUGGCUUUGUCUGCAUCCAGCAGUUUUCUUGCUCCCCCGUCGCCCGGGAAGCAGUAAUUUGCCGAGUUACUUGGCCCUGCUAAGACCACUGCCUGCUGCAUUUUCAUUCAGUGCCAGUUCUUGGGCUGUGGCAGAUGGAGCUAGAGCAUUGCUCCUAGACCAACCUUCACCCCCCCACUUGGCUUUUUUUCUUGAAAAAGGGUUAAAAGUAACCAUACUCUCACAGUCAACAGAAAGCUAUUGAAAUGUUUGAUUAUCCCUGCAGCAAAGGAAAGAGGAUAGUAAUACAACAGCAACCUCUCUUGGGGUAAAGUCAAGAUUUAAUAACCUAGGACCAAAGCAAUUGUUCAAAUCAAGCAAAAGGAAGUUCAAAAUAUUUUCACGUACAAUCUAUUUCCUUCUGUUUAUUUUGAUCAAGAUGCCUUCAGAUAAAUAGCCCUCUUCCACAGAAGGCAAUAGAAAUGUCACCACUGACUCCAGGGAUAUCAGGAUUGAUGCCUGGACAUCAUGUGGGAACAUUAAUUUAAUAUUCCACAAAAUACUGCAGUUAAAGAGUCAAUAUUCUCUGCUCAUUUUCUCCCUGUCAGAUUUUUUUUUAUUAUUUAAUCAAAUCAGUGUGCUAAAAUCUAGUGAUGGAAAAGAUCUAGUAGAUCGUGUAAUCUAUCUUCCUUUGAAUGUAAUGUUUCUUUGCGAUCUUUCACUGGUGCAUCAUGGAGCGCAGGUUUUUAAAUGUCCCAGGUGAUAAGGGCUCCUUAAAGUGCCUACUGCACGUUGUAAUGAAUCUCUGACUAUGAUCAAAUCCUGCUGUUCCUUGCUAUGCAGGAAGUCUUUCCAAAUUAGUCUAACACCAGGGCCAAGCACUGUGACUAAUAGGCAUAACUGCACUGUUCAUGCUAUCUGCAAGGCAGGUCCAGCAGGGAAAAUAUCAGCACCAAGAAUGUGCUUUUGAUUCCACAGAGAAAGGGACAAAAUCUCAGCAAAAAAGGCUAGAGAACAGAUCGGGGAAUUUAAGCAGCCUCCAGCACAAAUAAUUAUGGAAAGAUGCUUUACUCUGGAGGUGCUUUGUCAAUAACAACUCUAAAUAAGCUGAAGGAAAAUGAAAAACUACUAAACAACAGCAUCCAGGUUGGGUCUCAGGAUCUUCAGCUACUUCUUGAGCAGUGUCACUGAGUUUGGUCCAAGGAAAACAAGGACCCGUGAUUCUCAGUGUUAAAUGCUAUAAAUCUACAAAAAUGGCAUGUCCAGAGGUGGCAGAUACAUUUUAUUUAUCACUGGUCAUUAGAUCCUACCUACUUCACCUAGCAUUGCGUCCAAUAACUUACAUUUCACAAAAGAAUGAUUUCCAGAAAGGCUUGAAGACAACAAAUACUGGAAAACUAGCCCCUUCCCUGGGCAGUAUCUUACUGCUGAGUGCUUUUGCUCGCAUUUGAAUUUGUCUGACCAGUUUCCAGCUUUUUGGUCAGACUGUGCCUUUCGCCAUUAGGUUAAAGAGACCUUCAGCACCUCACAUUUCCAUCUCAUGAGGGCAUUUCAUGUUAUAAAUUGUGCCUUAAAAAAAGGAUAUGCUUGAAGAGAUCCUUGUAUGGCACUUUCAUGCUUCAAAACAUAAGGGGGGAGGGGAUUCUCCAUAUUCUUCAAAAUGUCACUAUCCCUUCGAAAAAAAUGGAGACGUGAGGGGGUUUGUUACCUUGCCGGGGUAUGGAGACGGGAAAUGGCUUGUGUGGGAGAGGAUAGGAGCCGAAGCGUGCACUGAGCAGCCAUGGGGCAGGGAGAAAACACAUUUGGGUGCACACUGAAGACAAAACUUUAUUUUGUUAGACGCUCGCGCAGAACUUGCUGUUACCUGUUUGAAUAAAUAUUGCCAAGAAGUUUUCCCUUUGUCUUUU
ensembl:lncRNA